UACUACAUUCAAAUAGAUAUGGU
rnacentral:siRNA from 1 species